rnacentral:lncRNA from 1 species
GGGGGGGUUUUCUGAAUGAAAGUUGAAAAUAUGUAUUUUCCAGAUGUAAAUAAAUACAUAUUUCUGGACAUUGAAAAUACACAAUUUACAUAUUUGAAAAUAUAUAUUUUUCAGUCAUUGAUUCUACGGCCAAAAUUCAAAUGCAUAUACAUUCUCAAUGAAGUAAUCAUUAUUUCACAAUAUAAAUGUUUCAAGCCACUUAAUAUUGGAACGAGGAGCCAACUGAAGAUUGCAACAGAACAUGUAUUAUUGCUCCCAUCAAUAUCAUGCACUCAUAUCAGCUAUGAUGUUCAAAGUAGUCCACCCAACAGACCACUCCAACUACAAUAGCAUCCUCAGUAACGGUUACAGGUGUGUUGUUGAUUGUAACUUGCUCUGGAUAAGAGCAUCUGCUGAAUGCCCAAAAUGUAAAUGUAAAAACAAACUCUUGCAAAGCAUGCUGGGUAUUAUUCAAAUGAGCUCCGCCCCUAAACAAGUACCCAUUUGUUCCGUGCAGACCAGAUCCAAAUCUGAAAGAAUCAUAGACGUCUAAGCUGUAUUUCACAAGUUUGAACAUCACAGUACAGUACGGCACAGUUUAGUACAGUAGAGCAUAGCAGAGUACAGUACAGUUUAAUUCAGUAGAGUACAGAACAGUACAGUAUAGUUUAAUUCAGUAGAGUAGAGUACGGUAUAGUUUAAUUCAGUAGAGUAUAGUACAGUGCAGUAGAUAAAGGCUCAAAAAUAAAUUCUGGGGACUCUCCCAACACGAUGCAGACAUUCCAGAACAUCGCUAUUCAAAACCAAUGUUUUCAGGCAAAACCUUUGCAGUGGUUUUAGUUAAGGUAAUUAAUGGAAACUAGCCAUUUGCGAAAUGCACUCAUUAAAAAUAAGCUGUGUGAUCUCCAUCUUGUUAGCUAAAAUGUUGUUUUUAUUCAAGAGCAUAAAGAAGUGUCGUAGGUAGUUCCUCUAUGAAAAGAGUCCAUAAUUGAAACCAGACUCUAGUCACUCUGUUCCCUAGGGUCGGGUUUUCCAGACUACCCGUGUGGUACCGAUCAAGAAUCUCCUCAGGGCCGCCCAUCAAAAUUAGCCUACAUUUAGGCAAUUGUUUGUGUAUUUCACUAACAUGUUGGGGGUAAAAAUCACAGUAUAAUGCUUGUUUGAAUGUCAACCCCAAUACGUUCAUUUCAUCAUCACCAAUCAACUGCAUUAGGCUUAUGCCUAAAAAUUACUUUAACUGCCACCAGUCAUUUUUAUAUGGCUAGGUAUACCAGCUUAUCAGAACGGGAGUAAGAUUAGCAGACACUUUUUCUAAACCCAAAAAGGACAACUUUGAAAUAUUAUGCAGUGAAAACAGCCAACAAUCCAACUGAGAUUUUAGUAUCCACAUUGUGGGCCUCUUCACAUAAAUCAUGACAGAUUUGACAAAGAUUUACUAAUGAAGUGAGAGACUGGUAGGGGCCUACUGGCUGGAUGUAGUGAGAGACUGGUAGGGGCCUACUGGCUGGAUGUAGUGAGAGACUGGUAGGGGCCUACUGGCUGGAUGUAGUGAGAGACUGGUAGGGGCCUACUGGCUGGAUGUAGUGAGAGACUGGUAGGGACCUACUGGCUGGAUGUGGUGAGAGACUGGUAGGGGCCUACUGGCUGGAUGUAGUGAGAGACUGGUAGGGGCCUACUGGCUGGAUGUAGUGAGAGACUGGUAGGGGCCUACUGGCUGGAUGUAGUGAGAGACUGGUAGGGACCUACUGGCUGGAUGUGGUGAGAGACUGGUAGGAGCCUACUGGCUGGAUGUAGUGAGAGACUGGUAGGGGCCUACUGGCUGGAUGUGGUGAGAGACUGGUAGGGGCCUACUGGCUGGAUGUAGUGAGAGACUGGUAGGGGCCUACUGGCUGGAUGUAGUGAGACACUGGUAGGGCCUACUGGCUGGAUUUACUAGUCUCAGAAACCCAGACAUAGGAGCAAGAGCACGAGGUCUUGGGAGGCUGUCAGAUUCUCGUAGACAUGCCGAAAUGGGAAGACAUUUUUCUGGUGGAGGUUUCUACCUGAAACCUGUUCAGCAAGGUUGCAGAAGGUUCAGAUAGAAAAUCUAGUCUUUGUGAUGUGGUGUAGGUGGUCUGUGUGUGUUGUGGUGUAGGUCUGUGUGUGUUGUGGUGUAGGUGGUCUGUGUGUGUUGUGGUGUAGGUGGUCUGUGUGUGUUGUGGUGUAGGUGGUCUGUGUGUGUUGUGGUGUAGGUGGUCUGUGUGUGUUGUGGUGUAGGUGGUCUGUGUGUGUUGUGGUGUAGGUGGUCUGUGUGUGUUGUGGUGUAGGUGGUCUGUGUGUGUUGUGGUGUAGGUCUGUGUGUGUGUGUUGUGGUGUAGGUGUAGGUAGUCUGUGUGUAUUGUGGUGUAGGUGGUCUGUGUGUGUUCUAGUGUAGGUGGGUCUGUGUGUGUUGUGGUGUAGGUGUGUGUUGUGGUGUAGGUGGUGUGUGUGUGUUGUGGUGUAGGUGGUAUGUGUGUGUGUUGUGGUGUAGGUGGCUGUGUGUGUGGUGGUGUAGGUGGUCUGUGUGUGUGUUGUGGUGUAGGUGGCUGUGUGUGUGGUGGUGUAGGUGGUCUGUGUGUGUGUGUUGUGUAGGUGGUGUGUAUUGUGGUGUGUGUGUUUUCCCCCCAUUCUGUUUGUUCAGUAUAUUUGACAGUAUACAUUACAUUUUGUUCUAUACAGUAUGUUUCGUUUAGUUUAUUUAUACAUAGGUCUGUUACUCGAUUAAAAAAUGUGUUGAUUAUUAUUAUUUUUAGGUUAGUUGAGUAGUCUGUAAAUGUUUAUCUGGUCUCCAUCCCUGUGUAGGUAUAUUUACAUUAUAAACAGCCUGGAGGUGGCAAUAGGCUCUAUAGGCUCUAUGUGUGUAUUGGGAAGAGCCAACAGUGGAAGAGCCAACAGUGGAAGAGCCAACAGUGGAAGAGCCAACAGUGCCAGUCUUGGUAGAUUCAGGUCGCUUUCCCCUGCUCAGAUGUUGCACGCAUCAACCAAUGCUUACAUACAACAUCAUCGACCGUGUCAUCGACUGACUGAAUGCUAGAACAUAUGAUGUGGUUAGCUGAUAGGUAAAAAACACCUAUCCAGUCCUGAUAAGAUCUGGCAAGAGUCAGCAACGCCUGGGCAGAGGAAUGUGUCUGCUAUGCAUGAUGACGUCAUAUCCCUACAACGAGAGGGAGGCCGACACAUUGACAGUACUAUUCAUAGACAAUAGGUGGCAGUAUAGUAUCAUAGAUCCUGCUUGUACUAAAGCUUCAAUGAGAACCUUUCCUUCUCUAGGCUCUACUCUCCAGGCCCUUUACUCUUUUCUAUUUUUGCCAAUUGCCUGCCACUGGCAUUAAACAAAGCAUGUGUGUCCAUGUAUGCUGAUGAUUCAACCAUAUACGCUAUGCGUCAGCAACCACAGCUAAUGAAGACACUGAAACCUUUAGCAAAGAGUUGCAGUCUGUUUUGGAAUGGGUGGCCAGUAAUAAACUGGUCCUGAACAUCUCUAAAACUAAGAGCAUUGUAUUUGGUAAAAAUCAUUCCUUAAGUUCUAGACAGCUGAAUCUGGUAAUGAACGGUGUGGCUGUUGAACAAGUUGAGGAGGAUAAAUUACUUGGCGAUACCUUUUGAUUGUAAACUGUCAUGGUCAAAAUAUAUAGAUUCAAUGGUUGUAAAGAUGGGGAGAGGUCUGUCCGUAAUAAAGAGAUACUCAGCUUUUUUGACACCACACUCCAGAAAGCAAGUUCUGCAGGAAUAUAGUUUUAUCUUAUCUUAAGGUAACAUAACUAAAUGACUAUCACACCGUAGCACUCACUUCUGUCAUCAUGAAGUGCUUUGAGAGACUUGUCAAGGAUCAUAUCACCUCCACCCUACCUGAUACCCUAGAGCCACUUCAAUUUGGGUACCGCCCAAAUAGGUCCACAGACGAUGCAAUCGCCAUCACACUGCACAUGGCCCUAUCCCACCUGGACAAGAGGAAUACCUAUGUAAGAAUGCUGUUCAUUGACUACAGCUCAGCAUUCAAAACCAUAGUGCCCUCCAAGCUCAUCAUUAAGCUUGAGGCCUUGGGUCUCAACCCCGCCCUGUGCAAUUGGGCCCUGGACUUCUUGACGGGCCGCCCCCAGGUGGUGAAGGUAGGAAACAACAUCUCCACUUCGCUGAUCCUCAACACUGGGGCUCCACAAGGGGGCUUGCUCAGCCCCCUCUUGUACUCCCUGUUCACCCAUGAC